UUGUGAGGUUAAGCGACUAAGCGUACACGGUGGAUGCCCUGGCAGUCAGAGGCGAUGAAGGACGUGCUAAUCUGCGAUAAGCGUCGGUGAGGUGAUAUGAACCGUUAUAACCGGCGAUUUCCGAAUGGGGAAACCCAGUGUGUUUCGACACACUAUCAUUAACUGAAUCCAUAGGUUAAUGAGGCGAACCGGGGGAACUGAAACAUCUAAGUACCCCGAGGAAAAGAAAUCAACCGAGAUUCCCCCAGUAGCGGCGAGCGAACGGGGAGGAGCCCAGAGCCUGAAUCAGUGUGUGUGUUAGUGGAAGCGUCUGGAAAGGCGCGCGAUACAGGGUGACAGCCCCGUACACAAAAAUGCACAUAUUGUGAGCUCGAUGAGUAGGGCGGGACACGUGGUAUCCUGUCUGAAUAUGGGGGGACCAUCCUCCAAGGCUAAAUACUCCUGACUGACCGAUAGUGAACCAGUACCGUGAGGGAAAGGCGAAAAGAACCCCGGCGAGGGGAGUGAAAAAGAACCUGAAACCGUGUACGUACAAGCAGUGGGAGCCUCUUAAUGGGGUGACUGCGUACCUUUUGUAUAAUGGGUCAGCGACUUAUAUUCUGUAGCAAG
rnacentral:rRNA from 1 species